UUUCCGUAGGUGAACCUGCGGAAGGAUCAUUAUUGUAUAACCGAGGUGCGAGGGCUGUCGCUGACCCGAAAGGUCGUGCACGCCCGAGUGCCCUCACACACAUCCAUCGCACCCCUAUGUGCACCACCGCGUGGAUCCCCCUUUGGCUUGUUCGGAGGGGGGCUUACGUUUUCACACAAACUUUGUAUGCAGUGUAGAAUGUAUUUUUUGUUUUUGCGAUCACGCAAUCAAUACAACUUUCAACAACGGAUCUCUUGGCUCUCGCAUCGAUGAAGAACGCAC
rnacentral:misc_RNA from 1 species